rnacentral:rRNA from 1 species
AUUGAACGCUGGCGGUAUGCUUAACACAUGCAAGUCGAACGGCAGCACGGUGGCAACCUGGGUGGCGAGCGGGGAACGGGUGGGCAAUACAUGGGAACAUCCCCAGCUGUGGUUUAGAACACUUCGACGGAAGUGCAAAUACCGCAUAAGCGCAGAGGCCGAAAGCGGGGGAGCGCAGGACCUCGCGCGCUUGGGGGGGUGGAUGUCGGAUUAGCUAGUUGGUGGGGUAAAGGCCUACCAACCCAACGAUCUGUAGCUGGUCUGAGAGGAUGAUCAGCCACCCUGGGACUUGGCCACGGCCCAGACUCCUACGGGAGGCAGCAGUGUGGAAUUUUGGACAAUGGGGGCAACCCUGAUCCAGCCAUUCCGCGUGAGUGAAGAAGGCCUUCGGGUUGUAAAGCUCUUUUGGCGGGAAAGAAACGCCGAGGUCUAACAUAGCGCGCUAAUGACGGUACCUGAAGAAGAAGCACCGGCUAACUACGUG